AUAUCGCGCAAAUCUGUUGUCUGGACCUUUUGCAACUUGACGGUCCCAUCUGAAAUCUGUCAAAACAUAAUCAAAAUUUCAGAUGGGACCUUUGGUAACAAUGUUGAAAUUCUGAUUUUUUUAAAAUAUUUAAAGUAUUUUCUAGUGCAAGUAUCAUAAGACACCAGAGAUAUCAGUGCAGGAACAAACAAGGAACUUUUGAAAUUCCAUACUUCAGGGAACUACCAGUGGGGCGUGCCAAUGCCAUCAGAGUACCCAGGAAGAACAUCCCGAAUGAAAUGGAUAAUUUCCCGUUUUAUUUGGAUACACAUUCGAUCAAUCGCACCCAUUCUACAAGCAAGGUAAACCACAUUGAGGAGUUAAACUCCGCUCUUUUAAGACAGAUAUAAACCUUCAAUUCCACGGAGAAACUUUGGAGGACUUCAUAGUUAUAACCAAAUGACCUCAUUCGAUUCUACCCCGUGUACUCUGCUAAUGCAUGAUGUGCUUUAGAUACGAACAAAUUGAAUCGAAACAGGAAGCUCUGUGUUGUUGCGCUCAUCAAGGAAAUUAAUGGAAAGGAUCAUAUAGUGCCGUCGAAGGUACACCGAAGCUUGGAAUGUGAAGUUUUCGCGGAAACAAGUGUCUACCGCCACCGAUGAGUUGUUGGCCGAAAGUGUUCCUGUACAUAAAUAAAACCAGUUCACAAACGUAUUUCUGCUGCUAAAGCUUAAAAAAUGUCCCUUGAUGUUAUAUUUUAGU